rnacentral:rRNA from 1 species
AUUGAACGCUGGCGGCAUGCCUUACACAUGCAAGUCGAACGGUAACGCGGGGCAACCUGGCGACGAGUGGCGAACGGGUGAGUAAUGUAUCGGAACGUGCCCAGUUGUGGGGGAUAACUGCUCGAAAGAGCAGCUAAUACCGCAUACGACCUGAGGGUGAAAGCGGGGGAUCGCAAGACCUCGCGUAAUUGGAGCGGCCGAUACCAGAUUAGGUAGUUGGUGGGGUAAAGGCCCACCAAGCCAACGAUCUGUAGCUGGUCUGAGAGGACGACCAGCCACACUGGGACUGAGACACGGCCCAGACUCCUACGGGAGGCAGCAGUGGGGAAUUUUGGACAAUGGACGCAAGUCUGAUCCAGCCAUGCCGCGUGCGGGAAGAAGGCCUUCGGGUUGUAAACCGCUUUUGUCAGGGAAGAAACGCUCUGGGUUAAUACCUCGGGGUAAUGACGGUACCUGAAGAAUAAGCACCGGCUAACUACGUGCCAGCCGCCGCCGUAAUAC